rnacentral:rRNA from 1 species
AGCAUAUCAAUAAAAAAAGAGGAA